CAGUCUUAGUUGCAUAAACAGGUUAAAAAUCAUAGAGUGACUGAUAACCAUAUAUUGUACUUCAUUGAAACGUAAGAAUAAGAUGAGAGAAAGUUAAAUAUCAGGAGGGCAACUCAAAUGAAGGAGGAGGAGCGCUGAAGGGCUAGAGUGAAUCACUGCUGAGGAAACUGAUUGGAUCAUAUUCGUUGACAUACAUUUAGAAAACACAAUCCUUCUGGGGAAAUGGAGAGUGCACGCUCUCGUGUUUGUCAACGUCACCACAGCACCUCUACAUGUUGGAUUGGGGAGUCUAAUGUAUGUAAGGGGGCGAUGGCGGACAUACUGCAUGCUGGUUCGGGUAAGAUUUUUGCACACAACAUGACAGUGCAAUUUGGUGGUUCAGGGGGAACAGUCCCUCUAGUGAGGAUGAGAGAAAUCGGGGGGUGGAACAAAAGGUUCCCAUGUGGCUCAGUUGGUAGAGCAUGGCACCUGCAAUGCCAGGGUUCGAUUCCCAUGGGGACCAGUAUGAAUAAAGUAUGAACUUGUACGCGCUCCGGAUAAGAACGUCUGCUAAAUGACAAAAAAAAAAAGGGGGAAAGAGUUAGCGUUUUGCUGCUACUGCUUCUCAGAGUAGAGACCCCUGAACAUAUAUUUCUACAACCCCCACUACGACUCAUCUCUUAGCCACGUCCUAUUCCUGUCCCCACCCGCCUCUUCUCCAGUCUAGCUGUGUCUGACAAAGGGAUAGACUGUGUGCUACGUGCAUUCUGCCGCCCUGCUGCGUUGAGGAAGAGGUCGCUUCAUCUCUUCUCUACUAAAAAAAAAUAAACACAAUUUCGUUGGCAGUAAUAGCCCCGGUUGUGUGUGCUCAACCAGCCGCCGAGGAAGAGACUGUGGGAAGCUUGAGCGUUCUCCCCUCCCUCCUGCCACAAGGACCCGGCCGCUCUCUCUUUCCGCUUGGUUAUGCAAUGCACGUCUCUCCCACGGCUUGCACAGGGGACCCGCCACAACACAGCCGCCACCAGCUGCAGGUGCAGACCAACAUAGCAACAGCUACGCAGCAGCACUCAGGCUUUCCAGCUCUCUGGGAUUUUACUGUUGUACUUGGCUCUUUGGAAUACCACUUGCUGAGCGGUGGGCUGUCUGUAGUAGCCGCCGCAAGCGCUAGCGUCUCCAGAGUAACCAUGCGCGACUGGGCCUCCGGGUUUCAGCGGCAGGAGAUAGAGAGACGCCUCUGAAAGGCACUAAUUGCUCUGCUCCCGAAGGUGGGAAGCAAGAAAGGAGGAGAGAAGAGGGGGCGUGUACAUUUGUCACAGAGACUGUGGCGCUCGCUCUUUGAGCUGCUAAGAGGGUCAAAAAGACAAGAAGAGCUGAGGAGGAGGAAGAGGGGGGCUGUGGUGGAAUUUGGAAUUGGAAAGAGAGGGGCGGGAGGAUGGGAAUCAUAGUGGGGAGGGAGGGGGAGCUUAUGGGGAGAGGGUUUCUCCAAGCCCCCUAGUGCUUCAGCUGUGGUGGAGGAGACCUGAGGAAUAAAACAACAAAAGCAAAAAACGGAGACUAUAGCGCAACCAACACCAAGGCAGCAUUUAACCCAGGGGGUGGCGCAGAGGACUGGAGAAUUCAUACGGCAAGAAGGGGGUGAUUUUUCACAGAGAGCUGUUUCUGCGCAGAGCCACGCACCAAGGCGCAGUUGGGAGCCAGGAUCUCCUUUUCCUUUUCAUUCCUUCUCUCCGACGCUGGGAGCGAGGCUACGCAGCCAGCCUCCCCCGCUUCCCAGUAAUGCAGGCUCCUGUGUGUGGCCAUGCUUCCCCGCUCAGGACCCAAAAGCAUGCUGGAUGUCACCCCACUCUUCACGCCAUAGGAUAAGUGCCAGCAGCACCCCUGCCAGGUUGAGCGAGCAUUAUGGCCAUGGGUCCCACGGUCAUAACUAUUGAGGAGGUGCGGGCGCUGGAGAGUAAGGAGGAGCAGGAGGAGUCCAUUUUGGCCUUGCUGGGCAUCGUUGGCACCUUCCUCAACCUCUUUGUCAUCGUCUUUGUUUACAUAUACACUGUCGUGUGACUUAAGCCAGAGUCGGAGUGGUCCUCCAAACGACAAGGCACAAACCAAGAUUCCUUUUAACCCUAAAUCAACAUAUACUGGAUUUGAAAACCAGAGCUCCUCCUCCCCUUAACUUUAUACUAGUUAAAAACGACAUGAGCAGUUUCCCAACACAGAGAGUGAGGGUGGACAGUUAUGUGGCGGAGACGUCUCACAGCCACAAACCAGGGAGAUAACAGUGAGCUGGUGGCUACAUCAGGACCAUAGCUGUGCUGGAUCUGGAUCCAGGAUGGGCAGACAGACACUGGCCCUACCCCAGCCAGGGUUCACUUUCCCAGGCUACAGGCCAGCACAGCCUGGAGUGGAACAUCACCUUGGACUCAUUGGCGUGAUGAGGGAAACAGUGUUACUGACAAAUCUCCUUUGUCAAAUGGAUUAUAAAAACGGAAUAAGGGACACUGAUGUCACUGGCCUGGAUGGUUCAAGGAGCAUGGCGUGGAGGAGGCAGUGUAUGCAAAGAACACUGGGAAGCCAUUACAGAUGAACUGUACCUCACCGUAUCACAUUGGUAAUCUUCCGGGUACAGCAUUUUAAACUGCUUGGUGGGAUGUCACAGCGCACGUUACCCCGGCAAUGUGGCUCUGGAGGAGCUUUAAUGUAAUGUGCUGCUUGCCGUCAGAUAGGCCACACACGCGCUCGCACACACACACACACACACACACACACACACACACCCCAAAACCAAAGGGUUAGUCACCGCUUCUCAUGAUUUGACAGAUCACAACAGAGCGAUCUCUAUUGUCUGUAUCUCGCUCCCGGCAAGAAGAGUGGCAAUGACUAGGAAACAUUUCUAUUCCAAUUGACCACCUGGGACUUCAAAACCAAACUGGAGAUCUGCAAUAAAAAGGGAAGUGGAGAGAAAGACCAAUAGGAGAGCCUGCGAUAGGAGAGCCUGCGGUGGAGAUGAAAUCAUCCGCAGGGGUGGAAAGGACCUUGUGGGCACCAGAAAGAAAAGCUCCAUUCUGCAUUUACUAAAACAUAAGGCCUGACUUACACUGUCUCUUUCUGCAUAUUUUUCCACGUUCUGUUCGGUUAUUGGGGGGUGGGGGGACUGACGUAUUUGUUCAUGUUGAUUUCAGGGUAGUGUUAGUAAUCCUGUUUCUGUAUAAAAAAAUGUAAAGCUUUUAUAAAUAUAUGGAUAAACUCUAGAUGUACUGUGCUAUAGGGAAAAUGUAAACAAUAAAGUUAGAAUGUAUGAAUUGGA